rnacentral:rRNA from 1 species
AGAGUUUGAUCCUGGCUCAGGAUGAACGCUGGCGGCGUGCCUAAUACAUGCAAGUCGAGCGAAUGGAUUAAGAGCUUGCUCUUAUGAAGUUAGCGGCGGACGGGUGAGUAACACGUGGGUAACCUGCCCAUAAGACUGGGAUAACUCCGGGAAACCGGGGCUAAUACCGGAUAACAUUUUGCACCGCAUGGUGCGAAAUUGAAAGGCGGCUUCGGCUG